UUGAGCGAGGGUAGCUGUGAGUAGACUGAGUCUGUGCUGUGGCAAUGGCAAUGGCGAUGACAGGCCACUGCAUGCAUGCAUGCUAGAGAUGAAAACUAUUUUUUGUGUUCAGCCUUUCAGCUUUGAGAUCGUGAUCGUAGAACCAACUAGCUCUGGCUCUCAGUCACCCAUCCGCAAGUAUACUAGUAGCUACCUGGUAGAGUCUACAUGGCGUGUGGUCGAAAUUUCACUGUGCCGUCACUGAUAGCUGGUGCCGAGCGCUGUUAGUUUACAAAACGAGUGGUUCUAACCUGGACAAUGGGGAACUGCUUUGGAGGGCGCGGCUCAGACGAAGCGGAUGGCAAUGCCUACUCGUCGAGCAGAGGAACAAUUCAACAAGUUCUGAUGUUUCCUGACAAAGCGAUGCCAUGUCGGUAUGGACGCUCUUGUCGACGUGGUAAUAGUUGCCUCCUAUUCCAUGAGAACACGUCCUUGAAGCAGUUCCUUGCGCGUUUGUCCAGCGCCAAACGGUCAAUAGACGUGUGUGUAUUUACAAUCACUUGCAACGAGAUAGCCGACACCUUCUUUAGCAGCACAGGAAAAAUGUAGCCGUACGCAUCAUCUCAGAUGGCGAGCAAUUGCACUCGCAAGGCAGCGAUGUCCAGCGAAUGGC